rnacentral:rRNA from 1 species
AGCGAACGCUGGCGGCAGGCUUAACACAUGCAAGUCGAGCGGGCAUAGCAAUAUGUCAGCGGCAGACGGGUGAGUAACGCGUGGGAACGUACCUUUUGGUUCGGAACAACACAGGGAAACUUGUGCUAAUACCGGAUAAGCCCUUACGGGGAAAGAUUAUCGCCGAAAGAUUGGCCCGCGUCUGAUUAGCUAGUUGGUGAGGUAAUGGCUCACCAAGGCGACGAUCAGUAGCUGGUCUGAGAGGAUGAUCAGCCACAUUGGGACUGAGACACGGCCCAAACUCCUACGGGAGGCAGCAGUGGGGAAUAUUGGACAAUGGGCGCAAGCCUGAUCCAGCCAUGCCGCGUGAGUGAUGAAGGCCCUAGGGUUGUAAAGCUCUUUUGUGCGGGAAGAUAAUGACGGUACCGCAAGAAUAAGCCCCGGCUAACUUCGUG